rnacentral:rRNA from 1 species
AAAUUGAAGAGUUUGAUCAUGGCUCAGAUUGAACGCUGGUGGCAGGCCUAACACAUGCAAGUCGAACGGUAACAGGAAGCAGCUUGCUGCUUUGCUGACGAGUGGCGGACGGGUGAGUAAUGUCUGGGAAACUGCCUGAUGGAGGGGGAUAACUACUGGAAACGGUGGCUAAUACCGCAUAACGUCGCAAGACCAAAGAGGGGGACCUUCGGGCCUCUUGCCAUCAGAUGUGCCCAGAUGGGAUUAGCUUGUUGGUGAGGUAACGGCUCACCAAGGCGACGAUCCCUAGCUGGUCUGAGAGGAUGACCAGCCACACUGGAACUGAGACACGGUCCAGACUCCUACGGGAGGCAGCAGUGGGGAAUAUUGCACAAUGGGCGCAAGCCUGAUGCAGCCAUGCCGCGUGUAUGAAGAAGGCCUUCGGGUUGUAAAGUACUUUCAGCGGGGAGGAAGGUGUUGUGGUUAAUAACCGCAGCAAUUGACGUUACCCGCAGAAGAAGCACCGGCUAACUCCGUGCCAGCAGCCGCGGUAAUACGGAGGGUGCAAGCGUUAAUCGGAAUUACUGGGCGUAAAGCGCACGCAGGCGGUCUGUCAAGUCGGAUGUGAAAUCCCCGGGCUCAACCUGGGAACUGCAUUCGAAACUGGCAGGCUUGAGUCUUGUAGAGGGGGGUAGAAUUCCAGGUGUAGCGGUGAAAUGCGUAGAGAUCUGGAGGAAUACCGGUGGCGAAGGCGGCCCCCUGGACAAAGACUGACGCUCAGGUGCGAAAGCGUGGGGAGCAAACAGGAUUAGAUACCCUGGUAGUCCACGCCGUAAACGAUGUCUACUUGGAGGUUGUGCCCUUGAGGCGUGGCUUCCGGAGCUAACGCGUUAAGUAGACCGCCUGGGGAGUACGGCCGCAAGGUUAAAACUCAAAUGAAUUGACGGGGGCCCGCACAAGCGGUGGAGCAUGUGGUUUAAUUCGAUGCAACGCGAAGAACCUUACCUGGUCUUGACAUCCACAGAACUUUCCAGAGAUGGAUUGGUGCCUUCGGGAACUGUGAGACAGGUGCUGCAUGGCUGUCGUCAGCUCGUGUUGUGAAAUGUUGGGUUAAGUCCCGCAACGAGCGCAACCCUUAUCCUUUGUUGCCAGCGGUCCGGCCGGGAACUCAAAGGAGACUGCCAGUGAUAAACUGGAGGAAGGUGGGGAUGACGUCAAGUCAUCAUGGCCCUUACGACCAGGGCUACACACGUGCUACAAUGGCGCAUACAAAGAGAAGCGACCUCGCGAGAGCAAGCGGACCUCAUAAAGUGCGUCGUAGUCCGGAUUGGAGUCUGCAACUCGACUCCAUGAAGUCGGAAUCGCUAGUAAUCGUGGAUCAGAAUGCCACGGUGAAUACGUUCCCGGGCCUUGUACACACCGCCCGUCACACCAUGGGAGUGGGUUGCAAAAGAAGUAGGUAGCUUAACCUUCGGGAGGGCGCUUACCACUUUGUGAUUCAUGACUGGGGUGAAGUCGUAACAAGGUAACCGUAGGGGAACCUGCGGUUGGAUCACCUCCUUACCUGAAAGAAGC